UACAGAGGGUGCGAGCGUUAAUCGGAAUUACUGGGCGUAAAGCGUGCGUAGGCGGUUACGUAAGUCGGAUGUGAAAGCCCCGGGCUCAACCUGGGAAUUGCAUUCGAGACUGCGUAGCUAGGAUGCGGAAGAGGGAAGCGGAAUUUCCGGUGUAGCGGUGAAAUGCGUAGAUAUCGGAAGGAACACCAGUGGCGAAAGCGGCUUCCUGGUCCAGCAUCGACGUUCAGGCACGAAAGCGUGGGGAGCAAACAGG
rnacentral:rRNA from 1 species